rnacentral:rRNA from 1 species
GGCGAAGCCUGGAUGCAGCGACGCCGCGUGAGGGAUGACGGCCUUCGGGUUGUAAACCUCUUUCAGCAGGGAAGAAGCGAAAGUGACGGUACCUGCAGAAGAAGCGCCGGCUAACUACGUGCCAGCAGCCGCGGUAAUACGUAGGGCGCAAGCGUUGUCCGGAAUUAUUGGGCGUAAAGAGCUCGUAGGCGGCUUGUCACGUCGGAUGUGAAAGCCCGAGGCUUAACCUCGGGUCUGCAUUCGAUACGGGCUAGCUAGAGUGUGGUAGGGGAGAUCGGAAUUCCUGGUGUAGCGGUGAAAUGCGCAGAUAUCAGGAGGAACACCGGUGGCGAAGGCGGAUCUCUGGGCCAUUACUGACGCUGAGGAGCGAAAGCGUGGGGAGCGAACAGGAUUAGAUACCCUGGUAGUCCACGCCGUAAACGUUGGGAACUAGGUGUUGGCGACAUUCCACGUCGUCGGUGCCGCAGCUAACGCAUUAAGUUCCCCGCCUGGGGAGUACGGCCGCAAGGCUAAAACUCAAAGGAAUUGACGGGGGCCCGCACAAGCAGCGGAGCAUGUGGCUUAAUUCGACGCAACGCGAA